GGAUAAAGCACACGCCUCCUGCUGUUGACUUUAUACUUCCAGCCUCGCGCCUUUGAUGUCUUAGUGUCUUGCAUGUUUAUUGAUGCUUCGCAGUGGGCCCAUGGAAUAGGCAGGGCAGCUACACUCAUUCUCAGUACCAAAUUCCACAUGACUGGUUUGUGGCUACAAGGUGGCCUGAACUCCAGGUAAGGGUUCUUUAUACCAUUUGUUGCCUUUUUAAAAUGUAUGCAACAAUUAUUGGACUGCUCCUUAUAUGCCAGGCACUGUUCUAGGCACUGGGAGUACAGCAAUGUCUCUAAUCUCAUGGAGCAUACAUUCCAGUGGAGGAAAAAAGACAGUAAACAAAGGGCAGGUAAAUGUGCAGUGUGCCAGGUAGAGAUUUUUGCUACACAGGAACAUGAAGCUAGGUGAGCGGCAUCGGAUGUUGCUAUGCAAUAUCAGGAAAUCAGGUAAAACCUCACCGAGAAGGUUACAUUUGGACAGAGACUGGAGCAGGCCGUGCAGAUACCUGGAGAGUGUUGCAAUGAGGGAGCAGCAAGGGCAAAGGCCCUGAGGCAGGACCAUGUUUGGCUACUCGAAGCAUGACAAGAGUGGCUGGAGCUCGGUGAGCAGGUGGGAGAGUGUGGGCGAGAUGGCCAGAGAGAGUGGGCAGAGGUCAGGCCACUGUAGGACUUUGAUUUGUGCUCCAAGUGAGAUGGGAAGGCUUGAGGGUUUUGAGGAGAAGAGUGAUCCUUGUGCUGCUGUGUUGCGUUGAAAGGACACAAGGGGAGCCAGGGAGAGCAGAUGUUGCAACAGAUCCAGCUGGGAGGUGCUGGCAGCUGAGACCAGAGUUGUACCAGUGGAGGUGCUGAGAAGGAGUUUGAUGAUGGAUAUUAUCUUGCAGGUAGACCUGGAAGAUUUUGUGAAAAGAUUGGAAGUGGGGUUUGAGGGAAAUAGAGGCGUUAACAAUGAACUCCAAUCUUUUGGCUCAAACCUCUGGAAGAAUGGGUCUGCCAUUUCCCCAAAAGGGAGAGAUUACAGAAGUAAUCAAAUCUACUCACCCAGGUCAAGAAUUUCUACUCUAUGUUCCAAAUUCAGCCUCUCAUUGAACACUUGUAGAACAAGGCAACAUAAUUAGUAAAGAACCCGUUAAACAGUU